rnacentral:rRNA from 1 species
AUUGAACGCUGGCGGAAUGCUUUACACAUGCAAGUCGAACGGCAGCACGGGGGCAACCCUGGUGGCGAGUGGCGAACGGGUGAGUAAUACAUCGGAACGUGCCCAGUCGUGGGGGAUAACGUAGCGAAAGUUACGCUAAUACCGCAUACGAUCUACGGAUGAAAGCGGGGGACCGUAAGGCCUCGCGCGAUUGGAGCGGCCGAUGUCAGAUUAGGUAGUUGGUGAGGUAAAGGCUCACCAAGCCGACGAUCUGUAGCUGGUCUGAGAGGACGACCAGCCACACUGGGACUGAGACACGGCCCAGACUCCUACGGGAGGCAGCAGUGGGGAAUUUUGGACAAUGGGCGCAAGCCUGAUCCAGCCAUUCCGCGUGCAGGACGAAGGCCUUCGGGUUGUAAACUGCUUUUGUACGGAACGAAAAGGCUCUGGUUAAUACCUGGGGCUCAUGACGGUACCGUAAGAAUAAGCACCGGCUAACUACGUGCCAGCCGCCGCGGUAAAAC